AGAGUUUGAUCAUGGCUCAGAAUCAACGCUGGCGGCGUGCCUAACACAUGCAAGUCGAACGAGAAAGUCCGCAAGGAUGAGUAAAGUGGCGACCGGGUGAGUAACACGUAGCUAACCUACCCUCGAGUGGGGGAUAACCUGGGGAAACCUGGGCUAAUACCGCAUAAUUUCCUGACGGCGCGAGCCGAUGGGAGCAAAGG
rnacentral:rRNA from 1 species